rnacentral:tRNA from 2 species
GCCCGGGUGGUGAAAUUGGUAGACACACAGGACUUAAAAUCCUGCGGCUUCACGGUUGUGCCGGUUCGAUUCCGGCCCCGGGCACCA